CGAACCGAUCGCCUCCGGGGAGGUCGUCGCCUCCUUCGCGUUGACCGAACCCGGUGCCGGUUCCAAUCCGGCCGGUCUGC
rnacentral:tRNA from 1 species